rnacentral:rRNA from 1 species
GAAACUUAAAGGAAUUGGCGGGGGAGCACAGCAACGGGAGGAGCGUGCGGUUUAAUUGGAUUCAACGCCGGAAAACUCACCGGAGGCGACGGUUACAUGAAGGCCAGGCUGAUGACCUUGCCUGAUUUUCCGAGAGGUGGUGCAUGGCCACCGUCAGUUCGUACCGUAAGGCGUUCUGUUAAGUCAGAUUAACGAACGAGACCCUCAUCCUUAAUUGCUACUAAUGACCUCGGUUGUUAGGCACAUUAAGGAGACCGCUGACGAUAAGUCAGAGGAAGGCGAGGGCAACGGUAGGUCAGUAUGCCCUGAAUCCUCCGGGCUACACGCGCGCUACAAAGGCCAGGACAAUGGGUUUCGACACCGAAAGGUGGAGGUAAUCCCGAAACCUGGUCAUAGUUCGGAUUGAGGGCUGAAACUCGCCCUCAUGAAGCUGGAUUCCGUAGUAAUCGCGGAUCAACAUCCCGCGGUGAAUAUGCCCCUGCUCCUUGCACACACCGCCCGUCAAACCAUGCGAGUUGGGUUCAAGUGAGGAUGUAGUAUUUUUGCUGCGUUCAAACUUGGGCUUAGCAAGCGGGGGUUAAGUCGUAACAA